GACGAACGCUGGCGGCGUGCCUAAUACAUGCAAGUAGAACGCUGAAGGAGGAGCUUGCUUCUCCGGAUGAGUUGCGAACGGGUGAGUAACGCGUAGGUAACCUGCCUGGUAGCGGGGGAUAACUAUUGGAAACGAUAGCUAAUACCGCAUAACAGUAGAUGUUGCAUGACAUUUGCUUAAAAGGUGCAAUUGCAUCACUACCAGAUGGACCUGCUUUGUAUUAGCUAGUUGGUGAGGUAACGGCUCACCAAGGCGACGAUACAUAGCCGACCUGCGAGGGUGAUCGGCCACACUGGGACUGAGACACGGCCCAGACUCCUACGGGAGGCAGCAGUAGGGAAUCUUCGGCAAUGGACGGAAGUCUGACCGAGCAACGCCGCGUGAGUGAAGAAGGUUUUCGGAUCGUAAAGCUCUGUUGUAAGAGAAGAACGAGUGUGAGAGUGGAAAGUUCACACUGUGACGGUAUCUUACCAGAAAGGGACGGCUAACUACGUG
rnacentral:rRNA from 1 species